rnacentral:misc_RNA from 1 species
GACAAGUGUUAUGUAGCUUCCUACUUACCUCCUACUGAUUCACGCAAAUUUACCGUCGUUGAUGGAAUGUUAGGGGCUACCAAUAUCGUCAGCUUCUUGCAGAAUAACAAUUCAUCUUCAUAUGUUCCACUAUUGUUAUUAUUGAGAGACAUAAGUAGUCAAGAUGGAGAACUCCAGGCAGACACAAGUACUCAGGAGGUUCCAAAAAUCUUAUCUGAUGCAUCUAAUGUGGAUGGAGCUUUAUAUGAUGGUGAUAAUUGCAGAAAAUAUGGGCAAAAUCAAGUACAAGGAAUUAGUGGAGUAAUUAACCUUUCAUCCAUAUCUAGUAAAGCGCAACCCGGAGGUCAUACAACGAAGAUAAUCCACCACAUUCCAAAUGCAACAAUAAUCUUUAGCAGGGAACUUUUUAAAAAACUGAUAAAAUGCAUCAGUUAAUUCUCCCAACCAGAAUCUUAGAGCAAUUUCCGAUUGAGCAAGGAUAUGAAAGGGAAUUUCCAGGAUUCGACGGCAAUGGUAACCGGUGGGAUUUUAUCCUAGCAAUUCGUGAAGUUCGUAAGUAUCUUAAACCAUAUCUUCG